AUUCCAAGUCAGUUUUAUAAGUAGAAAAAAAAAAAUAACUUAACAAAAUUCUAAUCUAAAUAUAAAUUCCUAAUCUAAACAAUAAUCUAAACUAACAAACUUAGAACAUAUUUGCAAAACAACAAACUCCAGAUUAUUAGAUUCAUAUGAAUGAAAUUGAAAGACCCUAAAUUCAUCACCAACACAGAACCCACCACCAUUACCAACCACUCUCCAAGCCACCACCAAUUCAAAACCCACCACCACCCAGAACACAGAACCCACUCCAACCCACCCACCACCAUCACCAACCUCUCCACGACAUCCCCAACUCAUAACCCAUCACCCAGAACCCACCUUCAAUCUGAUGUUCCUCUCUUUCUUUUUCUUUUACCAUUUCCCUCUUUCUCUGAAUCAGCUACCUGUUUCUAUGUGAUCUUUCUCUAUUUCUUUCCUUUCAAUUUCAGAUCCCUCACCUUUGGUCCCUCGACGCCUUUCACCCCUUUCAACCCACCUCCCCUCCUCACGCCUUUCACCCCUUAAAAUUGAAACCCAUUUCCAAAGCCAGAAGCACUUCACACCGAGAACGAAGUAGAUCGAAAGAGAAAGGGGAAAAUCGAGAACGAGGGGAAUCACAGGUCACCCUAGCAAUUGGAUUUUUGUGUCUGUUUGAGUUGCAGGAUCUGUGUAAGGUGGAUGGGUGUGUAUGUGUGGGGUUAGACGUGCUUACUUCCCUUUCUUGCUUACUGGUCUCUUGCGAGAGAGAAGAGCACCUCAGAUGGGUUGACCAGAGGAGGAGAAGAGGCAGAGCUUCCUCAUCUUCUUCUUCUUCUGGGUUUUGGGGGUUUUCAUCUCAUAUCUGAUGGUUCUCUUCUUCUUUCCCAACCCCAGCAAACCCAAGGGACCCUAAAUCGACCUGCUACUCCAAAUCCCCAUUUUUUCUCUUCAAACCCAGCACCACUGAUCUCUUCUCUCGGAUCUGAUCCGUUCUUCUUUUUGUUCUCAUGGUGGUGGUUUAGCCAAUGGAGAUUUUCCUGGGUUGUUUGAUUAGAUGGGAGGUUUCGGGUGGUGGCUCAGUGUGGGUGUGCGACGGUUGGGGUUGGAUGAGAGGGAGUUUACGGGUUGGGGGGCGUGGCCUUCUCCAGUGUUUCAGAAAGAGAGAGAGAGAGAGCUAAAAGAUGAAUGUUCAUGGUGAUGUUGUUGUAUUUUCUAUUGGUAUUACUGGACCAAAGCAAUAUUUAGAUUUUAAAGAUAAGCGACUGCAAUCUUUUGGGGAAUCUGAUUCUGAUGAUAAGGUUUUGGAGAGCAGCAGCACAGUCCAUACAAGUUAAAUCUAUUUGAAGACUCUUUAGUGUUUUAUUAAGUUAUAUUUUGAGACUAAGGUGUUGAAUUUAUACUUAAUGUAUUUGGAUGAUGUUUUAUAUUUUUAAUUAAUGUGUUUCCAUUUUAUAAUAGCAAUCAUAUAUUUUUUCAUUGA